rnacentral:rRNA from 1 species
AGAGUUUGAUCCUGGCUCAGGAUGAACGCUAGCUACAGGCUUAACACAUGCAAGUCGAGGGGAACGACAUCGAAAGCUUGUCUUUGUUGGGCGUCGACCGGCGCACGGGUGAGUAACGCGUAUCCAACCUGCCCACCACUUGGGGAUAACCUUGCGAAAGUAAGACUAAUACCCAAUGAUAUCUCUAGAAGACAUCUGAAAGAGAUUAAAGAUUCAUCGGUGAUGAAUGGGGAUGCGUCUGAUUAGCUUGUUGGCGGGGUAACGGCCCACCAAGGCAACGAUCAGUAGGGGUUCUGAGAGGAAGGUCCCCCACAUUGGAACUGAGACACGGUCCAAACUCCUACGGGAGGCAGCA